rnacentral:rRNA from 1 species
UAGGUUAACGAGGCGAACCGGGGGAACUGAAACAUCUAAGUACCCCGAGGAAAAGAAAUCAACCGAGAUUCCCCCAGUAGCGGCGAGCGAACGGGGAGCAGCCCGGAGUCUGAAUCAGCUUGUGUGUUAGUGGAACGGUCUGGAAAGUCCGACGGUACAGGGUGAUAGUCCCGUACACGAAAGCACACUUGCUGUGAACUCGAAGAGUAGGGCGGGACACGUGGUAUCCUGUCUGAAUAUGGGGGGACCAUCCUCCAAGGCUAAAUACUCCUGACUGACCGAUAGUGAACCAGUACCGUGAGGGAAAGGCGAAAAGAACCCCGGCGAGGGGAGUGAAAAAGAACCUGAAACCGUGUACGUACAAGCAGUGGGAGCCUCUUUAUGGGGUGACUGCGUACCUUUUGUAUAAUGGGUCAGCGACUUAUAUUCUGUAGCAAGGUUAACCGUAUAGGGGAGCCGAAGGGAAACCGAGUCUUAACUGGGCGUUAAGUUGCAGGGUAUAGACCCGAAACCCGGUGAUCUAGCCAUGGGCAGGUUGAAGGUUGGGUAACACUAACUGGAGGACCGAACCGACUAAUGUUGAAAAAUUAGCGGAUGACCUGUGGCUGGGGGUGAAAGGCCAAUCAAACCGGGAGAUAGCUGGUUCUCCCCGAAAGCUAUUUAGGUAGCGCCUCGUGAACUCAUCUUCGGGGGUAGAGCACUGUUUCGGCUAGGGGGCCAUCCCGGCUUACCAACCCGAUGCAAACUACGAAUACCGAAGAAUGUUAUCACGGGAGACACACGGCGGGUGCUAACGUCCGUCGUGAAGAGGGAAACAACCCAGACCGCCAGCUAAGGUCCCAAAGUCAUGGUUAAGUGGGAAACGAUGUGGGAAGGCACAGACAGCCAGGAUGUUGGCUUAGAAGCAGCCAUCAUUUAAAGAAAGCGUAAUAGCUCACUGGUCGAGUCGGCCUGCGCGGAAGAUGUAACGGGGCUAAACCAUGCACCGAAGCUGCGGCAGCGACGCUUAGGCGUUGUUGGGUAGGGGAGCGUUCUGUAAGCCGUUGAAGGUGUGCUGUGAGGCAUGCUGGAGGUAUCAGAAGUGCGAAUGCUGACAUAAGUAACGAUAAAGCGGGUGAAAAGCCCGCUCGCCGGAAGACCAAGGGUUCCUGUCCAACGUUAAUCGGGGCAGGGUGAGUCGACCCCUAAGGCGAGGCCGAAAGGCGUAGUCGAUGGGAAACAGGUUAAUAUUCCUGUACUUGGUGUUACUGCGAAGGGGGGACGGAGAAGGCUAUGUCAGCCGGGCGACGGUUGUCCCGGUUUAAGCAUGUAGGCGGAGGUUCCAGGUAAAUCCGGUACCUUAUUAACGCUGAGGUGUGAUGACGAGGCACUACGGUGCUGAAGUGAUAAAUGCCCUGCUUCCAGGAAAAGCCUCUAAGCAUCAGGUAACACGAAAUCGUACCCCAAACCGACACAGGUGGUCAGGUAGAGAAUACCAAGGCGCUUGAGAGAACUCGGGUGAAGGAACUAGGCAAAAUGGUGCCGUAACUUCGGGAGAAGGCACGCUGAUAUGUAGGUGAAGUCCCUGCGGACGGAGCUGAAAUCAGUCGAAGAUACCAGCUGGCUGCAACUGUUUAUUAAAAACACAGCACUGUGCAAACACGAAAGUGGACGUAUACGGUGUGACGCCUGCCCGGUGCCGGAAGGUUAAUUGAUGGGGUUAGCGGCAACGCGAAGCUCUUGAUCGAAGCCCCGGUAAACGGCGGCCGUAACUAUAACGGUCCUAAGGUAGCGAAAUUCCUUGUCGGGUAAGUUCCGACCUGCACGAAUGGCGUAAUGAUGGCCAGGCUGUCUCCACCCGAGACUCAGUGAAAUUGAACUCGCUGUGAAGAUGCAGUGUACCCGCGGCAAGACGGAAAGACCCCGUGAACCUUUACUAUAGCUUGACACUGAACACUGGUCCUUGAUGUGUAGGAUAGGUGGGAGGCUUUGAAGCGUGGACGCCAGUCUGCGUGGAGCCAACCUUGAAAUACCACCCUUUAAUGGCUGGUGUUCUAACGUAGACCCGUAAUCCGGGUUGCGGACAGUGUCUGGUGGGUAGUUUGACUGGGGCGGUCUCCUCCCAAAGAGUAACGGAGGAGCACGAAGGUUGGCUAAUCCUGGUCGGACAUCAGGAGGUUAGUGCAAUGGCAUAAGCCAGCUUGACUGCGAGCGUGACGGCGCGAGCAGGUGCGAAAGCAGGUCAUAGUGAUCCGGUGGUUCUGAAUGGAAGGGCCAUCGCUCAACGGAUAAAAGGUACUCCGGGGAUAACAGGCUGAUACCGCCCAAGAGUUCAUAUCGACGGCGGUGUUUGGCACCUCGAUGUCGGCUCAUCACAUCCUGGGGCUGAAGUAGGUCCCAAGGGUAUGGCUGUUCGCCAUUUAAAGUGGUACGCGAGCUGGGUUUAGAACGUCGUGAGACAGUUCGGUCCCUAUCUGCCGUGGGCGCUGGAGAAUUGAGGGGGGCUGCUCCUAGUACGAGAGGACCGGAGUGGACGCAUCACUGGUGUUCGGGUUGUCAUGCCAAUGGCACUGCCCGGUAGCUAAAUGCGGAAGAGAUAAGUG